UUAAGUUCAGCGGGUAUCCCUACCUGAUCCGAGGUCAAACUUGAGGUGGAGGCUUCCUGGAGAGCCAGGCACCGUCGGACGCCGCGCGCGUUUCUGCUGCGCUCGAAGCCAACGUGCCGGCUGCCAAUGCAUUUGAGGCGAGUCCCGGGGGGAGGACAGACGCCCAACACCAAGCUAAAGGGGGGGCUUGAAGUUUGAAA
rnacentral:misc_RNA from 1 species